CGGGCUGUAGCAUAAUGGUAGUGUACAUGCUUUGGGAGUAUGUGGCCUGGGUUCGAUUCCCAGCAGCCCGA
rnacentral:tRNA from 1 species